rfam:Ixodes scapularis strain Wikel colony gcontig_1108378337942, whole genome shotgun sequence.
CCCUGGUUAGCUCAGUUGGUAGAGCGCUCCAUUUGAAAUGUAGAGGUCCCUGGUUCGAUUCCUGGACCAAGCG